UACGGAGGAUGCAAGCGUUAUCCGGAAUGAUUGGGCGUAAAGCGUCCGCAGGUGGCCAUGUAAGUCUGCUGUCAAAGCGUCUGGCUCAACCAGAUAAAGGCAGUGGAAACUACAUAGCUAGAGUAAGGUAGAGGUAGAGGGAAUUCCUGGUGUAGCGGUGAAAUGCGUAGAGAUCAGGAAGAACACCGGUGGCGAAAGCGCUCUGCUGGACCUUAACUGACACUGAGGGACGAAAGCUAGGGGAGCGAAUGGG
rnacentral:rRNA from 1 species